UACGUAGGGGGCAAGCGUUGUCCGGAUUUAUUGGGCGUAAAGAGCGUGUAGGCGGCUUUACAGGUCCGUUGUGAAAACUCGAGGCUCAACCUCGAGACGCCGGUGGAAACCGUAAAGCUAGAGUCCGGAAGAGGAGAGUGGAAUUCCUGGUGUAGCGGUGAAAUGCGCAGAUAUCAGGAAGAACACCCGUGGCGAAGGCGGCUCUCUGGGACGGAACUGACGCUGAGACGCGAAAGCGUGGGGAGCGAACAGG
rnacentral:rRNA from 1 species